rnacentral:pre_miRNA from 1 species
AAUAGAUGACGCCGUUGACUUUUUCUCACAUGUUUGACCAUUCGUCUUAUUCAAAAAAUUUACAUAAUUAUAAUUUAUUUUGUUAUGAAUUGUUUUAUUACUCAUACUACUUUAAGUGUGAUUUAUAUUUUAUACAUUUGCAUAUUUUUUUUAAAUAAGACGAAUGGUCAAACAUGUGAGAAAAAGUUAACGGCGUCAUCUAUU